CGGUUAUUGAUGCCGAUAAGCUGAACGCCAUCUAUUUUGAGCACACGAUCCAGCUCCCUCUCAUCAUGAACCUAGAAUAUGACUGUCAUUCCGAGGUUCUUGCAGAUGCGAAGCAUGUACUUGAUGUCGAGAUCAGGUAACACGGCAGCAAUCAACAGAAUUGCAUCCGCACCCUUUGACCGAGCGUAAUAGAUUUGCCAGAUAUCUAUCACAAACUCCUUGCAAAGAAGAGGGCACUGCAGGCAUUGACAGAAUCAAACUUCAAGAAGAACAGCCAACCUGAAAGUGUUUUUCGUCGGUCAGGAUACUGAGGCAAGCCGCGCCGUUCUUCUCAUAGGAUUGCGCGAUCUCAACCUGUUAUCAUCCUCCCGGAGCACGCCUCUGCUCGGCGACGCCUUCUUCACCUCGGCGAUCAGCGCCGGCGCGACGUUGCGGCUGUAGGCCGCCGUUAGCGCGCCGACGAAGUCCCUGGCCGGUGGCGCGUGCUGGCUCGACUCGAUCACCUUCUGCAGCGGCUUCUUCGCCUUCCUCUGC
rnacentral:sRNA from 1 species